CCUACGUGCGGCUGCAGUGAGGAAUAUUGGUCAAUGGGCUUACGCCUGAACCAGCCAAGUCGCGUGAGGGAAGACUGCCCUAUGGGUUGUCAACCUCUUUUGUCAGGGAGCAACGCCGGCUACGUGUAGCCGGACUGAGAGUACCUGAAGAAAAAGCAUCGGCUAACUCCGUGCCAGCAGCCGCGGUAAUACGGAGGAUGCGAGCGUUAUCCGGAUUUAUUGGGUUUAAGGGGUGCGUAGGCGGAAUGCCAAGUCAGCGGUAAAAUCGCGGGGCUCAACCUCGCUCCGACGUUGAAACUGGCGUUCUUGAGUGGGCGAGAAGUAUGCGGAAUGCGUGGUGUAGCGGUGAAAUGCAGAGAGAUCACGCAGAACUCCGAUUGCGAGGGCAGCAUACCGGCGCCCAACUGACGCUGAAGCACGAAAGCGUGGGUAUCGAACAGGAUUAGAUACCCCGGUAGUC
rnacentral:rRNA from 1 species